rnacentral:rRNA from 1 species
GAUGAACGCUGGCGGCGUGCCUAAUACAUGCAAGUCGAGCGAACGGACGAGAAGCUUGCUUUUCUGAUGUUAGCGGCGGACGGGUGAGUAACACGUGGAUAACCUACCUAUAAGACUGGGAUAACUUCGGGAAACCGGAGCUAAUACCGGAUAAUAUUUUGAACCGCAGGGUUCAAAAGUGAAAGACGGUCUUGCUGUCACUAUUAGAUGAAGCCGCGUUGCAUUAGCUAGUUGGUAAGGUAACGGCUUACCAAGGCAACGAUGCAUAGCCGACCUGAGAGGGUGAUCGGCCACACUGGAACUGAGACACGGUCCAGACUCCUACGGGAGGCAGCAGUAGGGAAUCUUCCGCAAUGGGCGAAAGCCUGACGGAGCAACGCCGCGUGAGUGAUGAAGGUCUUCGGAUCGUAAAACUCUGUUAUUAGGGAAGAACAUAUGUGUAAGUAACUGUGAACAUCUUGACGGUACCUAAUCAGAAAGCCACGGCUAACUACGUG